AUUGAACGCUGGCGGCAUGCCUUACACAUGCAAGUCGAACGGUAACGCGGGGCAACCUGGCGACGAGUGGCGAACGGGUGAGUAAUACAUCGGAACGUGCCCAGUAGUGGGGGAUAGCCCGGCGAAAGCCGGAUUAAUACCGCAUACGACCUACGGGUGAAAGCGGGGGAUCGCAAGACCUCGCGCUAUUGGAGCGGCCGAUGUCAGAUUAGCUAGUUGGUGGGGUAAAGGCCUACCAAGGCGACGAUCUGUAGCUGGUCUGAGAGGACGACCAGCCACACUGGGACUGAGACACGGCCCAGACUCCUACGGGAGGCAGCAGUGGGGAAUUUUGGACAAUGGGGGCAACCCUGAUCCAGCCAUGCCGCGUGCGGGAAGAAGGCCUUCGGGUUGUAAACCGCUUUUGUCGGGGAAGAAACGGUCUGCGCUAAUACCGCGGACUAAUGACGGUACCCGAAGAAUAAGCACCGGCUAACUCUGUGCCAGCCGCCGCGGUAAAAC
rnacentral:rRNA from 1 species